GGUCCUAUGGUGCAGUGGUUAGCAUGGUGCUCUUGUAAUGCACAGGUCGUGGGUUCGAACCCCUCUAGGACCA
rnacentral:tRNA from 1 species